rnacentral:rRNA from 1 species
UACAGAGGUCUCAAGCGUUGUUCGGAUUCAUUGGGCGUAAAGGGUGCGUAGGUGGCGCCGUAAGUCAGGUGUGAAAUUUCGGAGCUUAACUCCGAAACUGCAUUUGAUACUGCGGUGCUUGAGGACUGGAGAGGAGACUGGAAUUCACGGUGUAGCAGUAGAAAUGCGUAGAUAUCGUGAGGAAGACCAGUGGCGAAGGCGGGUCUCUGGACAGUUCCGUGACACUGAGG